GUGGGGAAUAUUGGACAAUGGGCGAAAGCCUGAUCCAGCCAUGCCGCGUGUGUGAAGAAGGUCUUCGGAUUGUAAAGCACUUUAAGUUGGGAGGAAGGGCAGUAAGUUAAUACCUUGCUGUUUUGACGUUACCGACAGAAUAAGCACCGGCUAACUUCGUGCCAGCAGCCGCGGUAAUACGAAGGGUGCAAGCGUUAAUCGGAAUUACUGGGCGUAAAGCGCGCGUAGGUGGUUUUGUAAGUUGGAGGUGAAAUCCCCGGGCUCAACCUGGGAACUGCCUCCAAAACUGCAUGACUAGAGUACGGUAGAGGGUAGUGGAAUUUCCUGUGUAGCGGUGAAAUGCGUAGAUAUAGGAAGGAACACCAGUGGCGAAGGCGACUACCUGGACUGAUACUUACACUGAGGUGCGAAAGCGUGGGGAGCAAACAGGAUUAGAAACCCCUGUAGUCC
rnacentral:rRNA from 1 species